rnacentral:rRNA from 1 species
GACGAACGCUGGCGGCGUGCUUAACACAUGCAAGUCGAGCGGUAAGGCCCUUUCGGGGGUACACGAGCGGCGAACGGGUGAGUAACACGUGGGUGACCUGCCCUCAGCUCUGGGAUAAGCCUGGGAAACCGGGUCUAAUACCGGAUAUGACUCCAUGACGCAUGUUGUGGGGUGAAAGCCUUGUGCGGCUGAGGAUGGGCCCGCGGCCUAUCAGCUUGUUGGUGGGGUGAUGGGCCUACCAAGGCGACGACGGGUAGCCGGCCUGAGAGGGCGACCGGCCACACUGGGACUGAGACACGGCCCAGACUCCUACGGGAGGCAGCAGUGGGGAAU